rnacentral:lncRNA from 1 species
AUGUACAGCUGGACACUGGUGACUCCCCUGUGUGUGUGGGGGUCCCAUGUUCCUCCCGGCACUGCAGUUUACCUGAUAGAUAAACCGAGACUCAGGGCACAUCGCCUGCCAGGCCACAGGGAAGCCAGGCUUGGCCGGUCCAAGUGGACACUCACCCUGUGCCCCUGGUCCCGAGCUCUCUGGGAAUCCGACGUGGCCCGAUGGCCCCCAGGGGCCCCUGCCUCCCGCUGCCCCAGCGCAGACCCCGCCCUCCCAGAGCAGCCAGCCCGCCGUCUCUGGUGUGGCUCUGUCUCACCCCCUCCCCGCCCCUUCCCGGUGCCACGUCCCACAGGAAGUCUCAGCAGCUGGGCUCACACACGCAGAAGCAGGCUCCCCGCGCGGCGGGUGGCUGGGGCGGCCAGCCGCCAGCCCAGCAGGUACGGGCCCCCAGACCCAACAGAGACCCAACCUGGGCAGGCAGCACAGAGCUGGGCCCUUGGAGCUUCCAGGAAAGGCCCCCACAGGUGGGUGGGGGCCAGGGAGUGUCCAAAACACACGCAUGUGCUCCGCCCACGACCCCCAAGCCCAGGACAAGGGAGGAAGACACUCCAGAGGCGCCUCAGGCUCCAUCAGACGCUAAUUAGAGCUCCGUGUGGUGCGUGCUCAACAGCAACAGAGGGGCAGCCGGCACAAACAUUUCGAAUGACACAGAAUUUGCGCUUAAUGGGCUGAAAUUCUUUAAGCUGAGAGCCCAGCUGAGCCAUUAUGCAGCCGAUUUGCAGGAUGGGGAGAACACCGCAUGGGAGCCGACAAGCGGGGCACUUCCCAUGACCAGAGGGGCAGCGGCCCCGUCCCUGGCCACCAGGGAGCCCCCGAAGCGUGGGAGCCCCAGCCAGGUGUAGACAGGACCCAGGUGCAGAGCCCAGGCUGCCGGACCUUCUCAGAGCACUGCUCGCCCUCCCCCCGCAGCAUAAGGACAGCCCCUUGGGGGACCCCUGCACACAGCAGUCUUCACUUGGUAGGUACACCGGUGCACACAGUAGGGCCACACUUCAAAUGGGGGUCACCCACUCACAGGGCCUCAGAUCAUGCACGGCUGGGAGUUCAGCCUGUGCGCACAACUGCGUCCUGCCCCGAGUCACGAAUGAACGGCGGCCUGAUCAGGACACGCGUGGACCAGGUGCACGGUAGGGACCUGCGGGCCCGCUGCUGCGGGAGGGCACCUCUCCUGGCCGCCACCGCCCGGCAGCCCCGGGCCCUGGGGAGCUCUGGCCAUGCUGGCUCCCCUCCAGCCGCCUGCCUUUGCAUCGAUCCUCUAAUAACUCGAUCCAUUACGCCGGAGCAGGAUUCUUGGAAACCGGCAGGAAAAGGAAGGCUUCUGCGAACGAUCUGAGUCAUUUUUUUUUAACAAUAGGGUGCCUCUCCCCUCGCCAGUGUGGCAGGCUGUCCACCACUCACUGUGCCCCUCGUGGGGAAGGGGCCCCAACGGCCUGGCCAGAGCCGUGACGACCCUCCCAGGGCUCUGGGACCCGUCCAGCUCUCCCCUCGAGUCCAGCCCGGCCCAGAUGCGGGCUCUCAUGGAGGAGUCACUCGCUGGUACUCCUUCUGGGAGGGAGACCGUCCACUCCCCACCUUGGCCAUGGAAAGAAGCUGAAUUUACACCUGGGUUUCCCGGGCUCCCAGCUCCUCAAAGCACAUGCCCUCUGGGGUGCAGGCCCCACAGGGCCAGGGUGACCAGCAGACUUCAGGCCCAGCCUCCAAGCAGGCUGAGCAAAUGGGCCAGGGCAGGUGGUCAGGGUCUGGAAGCACUAUCUCAUCUGCAAAGCGGGGAUCCCAGCGGCACCCCCUCCCCAGGGGGAGCCUGGAGCAUUCUCCAGCAGGUGAGUGCCGCUGUUCCAGGCUGGCGGUCCUGGCAGAGGGCAGGACCCACCCCACCCUCACUGGCGCCCAAGGGCCCUGCUGUCUCCAGCUCUUCUAUCAGGCCAGGGUGAGAGACUGACAAAACCCUACAAUGCCCCUUUUCCAGCUGAAUUUUUAUGGUUUGGAAAAUACAGACGUUUUUCAUGAAAGGAAAUGCUAUGGCAACACCUACUGAGUUUAUUAUUGUUUUAAAUUAAUGGCUAAAGAACGAUUUCUAAAUUUCCUCAACUUAAACUCCAAGAAGAGAAACAGCAGACAGAGGCCCCCUGCAGAGACCUCCUGGGGCCUCAAUCCAUCAGGCCCUGGGGUUCGGGGACCUGUUUCAGAGGCGGCAGAACAGGGUCCGGGCGCCCCACCAGCCUCAGAAGGAUGUCCCCUCCCUGCCCUGCCGGACACCCCAGGCCCCACCCCCAGGGGCCUUCCUCCUGGGCCCGCUUUAAGAAACCCCAGUCCGAAGCCAGUGCCUCCCCAGGUCCCCCUGGGUUCCAGUGGACACACCUAGGGGACCAAAGCACCUCUGGCCACACAAACAUGGUUCCCACACCCAGUGCUGGCCAGGGGGGCCCACCCGAUGUGUCCCCAGAUCCCCCCCGUCCUGCAUCUGUCAAGGCCUGAGGGAACCACCCCUGGGCUGGCUGGCCGGGCCGGAUGCACCUCUGCCCCACAAGGCCCUGGUUGGGGGUCACUCGGGGCUCAGCAGGACCCUCUCUGAGGAACAAAGCCCACCCUUCCCACCGAUGGACCUCCUGGGGCAGAGACCCCCGGCCCCCGGCCCCCCCCCGCCCCCCCCGGAGGAACAAAGCCCACCCUUCCCACCGAUGGACCUCCUGGGGCAGAGACCCCCGGCCACCUGGCCCCCACCUGCCCCACAAGGCUGCCUGCAGGCUGAAGGCAGACGUUUGUCUCCGGGGCCGCAGGAAGCCCGUGCCAAGGACCCCGGGCACCAUAACGAACCCUUUAAUUAGGGAACCCCGGGCUCCAGCACACGCCCCUGCUGCUCCCAUUCUUGGGCUCUCUCCACCAGCACAUGUGCUGCCCAGGGGAGGUGGCCCAGGCCCCGCUGCAGGAGAGGCAGCUCGAGGGUGGCCCGGCAGAACCCAGGGGUGCAGAAGUCCCUGUGGGGGGUAUCCUUUGCACUCACCGGAGACACGUUUCAGACCCCUGCCCCCGUUUCUAGAAGCUUCCAUGAGGCCAAGGAUCAGGAGGUGAGGGUUUGGCGGUUGGCUCUGGAUGUGGUGGACCUGGGCCUGGGCCAGCAGAUGAGUUGAGGGGGGCUUGCUCCCCGGAGGGGCGUUGUGGGGUCUGCAAAUCCUCCAGCUGGCCAGGACUGGCCCCCCCAGCCCAGGUGGCUCUGCCAAGGAAAGCUGCCACCAGCCUCCCAGGUUGGGCCUCACCUUCAUACCCCCUGGGGGCCCCCGGGAUGCCUGACGCCCCAAACACGCUCACAAAGCUCCACAGGCUCCCAGAGUGACCAAACGCUGCCUCUUGUGGCGUGAGGGCUACACUCAGCCCAGUUCCCUCCUGGCCAUCAGUUCCGAGCAUGUCACCCCAAAGGCAAGGGGGCACCAGGGGACGAAGAUGAAAUACACAAGUUCACACAGAAGCGGGUGCUGACGAGGGUCCUGGCCAGCAGAGGGUCCUGGCCUGCCGACGCCCUGCCCAGCUCCCUCCAGAGGACGUUCAGGAAGGGGCAGCAAGACAGGGCGUACCCAGUCGGCAUGGCAACCAGGAAUCCAGCCCGACCUCAGCCAGACCAUUAUGGCUAGAGAGUGAGGCGUAUUUUCUAAUUAAAGUGGGAGAGGUGACAUUGAUCCUGAGUUGGUCGUUAAUGAGGCGGGGGACCUGCAGGGGGCCAGGCAGGCCUGUUUUUCCCACCAGGCUCUCCCCCCGCCCCCCAAGCCUCCCUGCCUUCUCCAGUCCCUCUUUUAAGGUAAAACUCAGACCAGGCCACAGCUGAGUCUACCCGGCUUCAGAUUCCACACUGUGCCGGCCCAGAAAAAGGCCCGGAAGGCGUAGGGAGGGGGCCGCCCCCUGUGGAGGGCGGGUGGCAGCCAGCUGGCGGCCCAGAGAUGCCCAUCCAGGAGGCCACCACGGGACUGGCAGGGUUGGGGGUCCAGAGGGGAGCCCCCAGCAGUGCCCACCAGGCAGCUGGAGCACGGUGGAGGUGGGAGGCGCCAGGGAGGGGCGCGGGGGGGCACUGACUCUCCUCGCCCGGCCUCCAGAGCUCUGCAGAUAAACAGUCUAAAUUAGGAAUUAAAACAUCGUUCGCUCCCACCAGCAGGCAGGCCAGCCGUAAUUCAAACGUGCAAGAAACACCCCGGCCUCCUCCCGGAGCCCCAGAUUUCCCAGUGUGGGUCUGCAGGGUCGGCAGGCAGAGGUCAAGGUCAAGUUCGAGCACGGCACAGCCUGCUCUGCCCCUCCUGGGGCCCGGCGGGGGCCUCCCCAAGCCAACACGCUCUGCCGGGGCC